rnacentral:lncRNA from 11 species
AACAAACAACACCUGCUGAAAUCCACUCUGAAACAUCCAUUAAAGACACAGGAACCCCUUGUAGUUUUCAUUUUGACAACAUUUUCCUACCAUCUACAACUGCAGUUCUACGAAGGCUGGAUUUCAUAAACUUGAACAAAAGCAAGACUUCGCCUGAUGGGAAAAGUUGGUGUGACUUAAUGCCAAGCAAAGUCCGAAGGUGGUCCCUCUACUUGCAACUCAAGGCGGAAGGAGCUGGGUGCCAACUGGGGAGAUCAAGGGCCUCACACGAUUACCUGGAGAGUUAAGGAUUGCAACCGUCUCCAGGUUUCCUCACCAAGUGCUCUGGGGACUUUGCAGACCUGACACAUCAUUUCUCUUGUCUCCCUGAGGGCCUCCACCGAGUCCCUUUCCUAAAGGGAAACAAGCUGGAGGGCAAGGAAGACUUUCUGCAAUUACCUUUGGAAGGAAGCAAAGGAAAGCCACAAUGUUUAAGAAUGCGGGCGGAGAGAGUGUGUAGAUAUAUAUAUGUCUGACUCCAUCUAUCUCAGAGCUGUCCAAACUGUGUAUUGUGACACAUGAGUGUGUCAGCUGCAGUGUGUAGGUGUGUCUCACUAAUGUAACCAGACACCUGAAUCUAUGAGGCAUAAGCAAUAAAU